GCUUUUUCCAGGAUAUAUUAUGAGUUCUACUGUGCAGUUCAGUUGGAUGGGAUAGCAUUUUCCAGCAUAUGUACAACGUGUUUUAUUUUAUAAUCUUGUAGUGGUUUAGAAAAUGGAGCCCCACAGGUUUUCCUUCUGGAACUAUUUUAAGCACCACCAUAUUCCUGAGAAGGUUCACCUAGUGGGAACCUAAGAGGGAGUUUUCUCAAGUGACUGCUUUUGCUGUCGGG
rnacentral:lncRNA from 11 species